GAUGAACGCUAGCUACAGGCUUAACACAUGCAAGUCGAGGGGCAUCAUGAGGUCAGCUUGCUGGCUUUGAUGGCGACCGGCGCACGGGUGAGUAACGCGUAUCCAACCUUCCCCUUAGUAGGGCAUAGCCCGGCGAAAGUCGGAUUAAUACCCUAUGUUUUCCAAUGAGGACAUCUGAGCUGGAACAAAGAUUCAUCGCUAAGGGAUGGGGAUGCGUCAGAUUAGGUAGUCGGCGGGGUAACGGCCCACCGAGCCGUCGAUCGGUAGGGGUUCUGAGAGGAAGGUCCCCCACACUGGUACUGAGACACGGACCAGACUCCUACGGGAGGCAGCAGUGAGGAAUAUUUGGUCAUGGGCGCGAGCCUGAACCAGCCAAGUAGCGUGCAGGAUGACGGCCCCUACGGGUUGUAACUGCUUAUAUGCGGGGAUAAAGUGGCGUACGUGUACGUUUUUGUAGGUACCGCAUGAAUAAGGACCGGCUAAUUCCGUGCCAGCAGCCGCGGUAAUACGGAGGACGCGAGCGUUAUCCGGAUUCAUUGGGUUUAAAGGGUGCGCAGGCGGCCUGUCAAGUCAGCGGUGAAAGCCCGGGGCCCAACCCCGGAAGUGCCGUUGAUACUGUCGGGCUGGAAUGCGGUCGAGGCGGGCGGAACGUGGCGUGUAGCGGUGAAAUGCGUAGAUAUGCCACAGAACGCCGAUAGCGGAGGCAGCUCGCCAGGCCUGCAUUGACGCUCGGGCACGAAAGCGUGGGGAUCGAACA
rnacentral:rRNA from 1 species